UACGUAGGGUCCGAGCGUUGUCCGGAAUCAUUGGGCGUAAAGAGCGUGUAGGCGGCUUGGUAGGUCACGUGUUAAAGCCUGCGGCUCAACCGCAGAAUCGCACGUGAAACCACCUGGCUAGAGUCCGGAAGAGGAGAGCGGAAUUCCUGGUGUAGCGGUGAAAUGCGUAGAUAUCAAGAGGAACACCUGAGGUGAAGACGGGUUGCUGGGCUGACACUGACGCUGAGGCGCGAAAGCCAGGGGAGCAAACGGG
rnacentral:rRNA from 1 species